UACGAAGGGGGCUAGCGUUGUUCGGAUUUACUGGGCGUAAAGCGCACGUAGGCGGAUCAUUAAGUCAGGGGUGAAAUCCCGAGGCUCAACCUCGGAACUGCCUUUGAUACUGGCGAUCUUGAGUUCGGGAGAGGUGAGUGGAACUGCGAGUGUAGAGGUGAAAUUCGUAGAUAUUCGCAAGAACACCAGUGGCGAAGGCGGCUCACUGGCCCGAUACUGACGCUGAGGUGCGAAAGCGUGGGGAGCAAACAGG
rnacentral:rRNA from 1 species